AGUGAACGUUGGCGGCGUGGAUUAGGCAUGCAAGUCGUGCGGAAAGGCUCCUUCGGGAGCACUCGAGCGGCGAAAGGGAGAGUAACGCGUGGAUUACCUGCCCUCAGGUUCGGGAUAGCCGCGGGAAACUGCGGGUAAUACCGAAUGAUAUCUCCGGAUCAAAGGUGUGAUUCCGCCGGAGGAUGGGUCCGCGUCCUAUUAGCUAGUUGGUGAGGUAACGGCCCACCAAGGCUGCGAUGGGUACGAGGCGUGAGAGCGUGACCUCGCUCACUGGGACUGAGACACUGCCCAGACACCUACGGGUGGCUGCAGUCGAGAAUCUUCGGCAAUGGGCGCAAGCCUGACCGAGCGACGCCGCGUGCGGGAUGAAGGCCUUCGGGUUGUAAACCGCUGUCAGAGGGGAUGAAAUGCCGGUGGGUUCUCCCAUCGGUUUGACAGAUCCUCAGAGGAAGUACGGGCUAAGUUCGUGCCAGCCGCCGCAGUAACAC
rnacentral:rRNA from 1 species